rnacentral:rRNA from 1 species
AGAGUUUGAUCAUGGCUCAGAUUGAACGCUGGCGGCAGGCCUAACACAUGCAAGUCGAACGGUAACAGGAAACAGCUUGCUGUUUCGCUGACGAGUGGCGGACGGGUGAGUAAUGUCUGGGAAACUGCCUGAUGGAGGGGGAUAACUACUGGAAACGGUAGCUAAUACCGCAUAACGUCGCAAGACCAAAGAGGGGGACCUUCGGGCCUCUUGCCAUCAGAUGUGCCCAGAUGGGAUUAGCUAGUAGGUGGGGUAACGGCUCACCUAGGCGACGAUCCCUAGCUGGUCUGAGAGGAUGACCAGCCACACUGGAACUGAGACACGGUCCAGACUCCUACGGGAGGCAGCAGUGGGGAAUAUUGCACAAUGGGCGCAAGCCUGAUGCAGCCAUGCCGCGUGUAUGAAGAAGGCCUUCGGGUUGUAAAGUACUUUCAGCGGGGAGGAAGGGAGUAAAGUUAAUACCUUUGCUCAUUGACGUUACCCGCAGAAGAAGCACCGGCUAACUCCGUGCCAGCAGCCGCGGUAAUACGGAGGGUGCAAGCGUUAAUCGGAAUUACUGGGCGUAAAGCGCACGCAGGCGGUUUGUUAAGUCAGAUGUGAAAUCCCCGGGCUCAACCUGGGAACUGCAUCUGAUACUGGCAAGCUUGAGUCUCGUAGAGGGGGGUAGAAUUCCAGGUGUAGCGGUGAAAUGCGUAGAGAUCUGGAGGAAUACCGGUGGCGAAGGCGGCCCCCUGGACGAAGACUGACGCUCAGGUGCGAAAGCGUGCGGAGCAAACAGGAUUAGAUACCCUGGUAGUCCACGCCGUAAACGAUGUCGACUUGGAGGUUGUGCCCUUGAGGCGUGGCUUCCGGAGCUAACGCGUUAAGUCGACCGCCUGGGGAGUACGGCCGCAAGGUUAAAACUCAAAUGAAUUGACGGGGGCCCGCACAAGCGGUGGAGCAUGUGGUUUAAUUCGAUGCAACGCGAAGAACCUUACCUGGUCUUGACAUCCACGGAAGUUUUCAGAGAUGAGAAUGUGCCUUCGGGAACCGUGAGACAGGUGCUGCAUGGCUGUCGUCAGCUCGUGUUGUGAAAUGUUGGGUUAAGUCCCGCAACGAGCGCAACCCUUAUCCUUUGUUGCCAGCGGUCCGGCCGGGAACUCAAAGGAGACUGCCAGUGAUAAACUGGAGGAAGGUGGGGAUGACGUCAAGUCAUCAUGGCCCUUACGACCAGGGCUACACACGUGCUACAAUGGCGCAUACAAAGAGAAGCGACCUCGCGAGAGCAAGCGGACCUCAUAAAGUGCGUCGUAGUCCGGAUUGGAGUCUGCAACUCGACUCCAUGAAGUCGGAAUCGCUAGUAAUCGUGGAUCAGAAUGCCACGGUGAAUACGUUCCCGGGCCUUGUACACACCGCCCGUCACACCAUGGGAGUGGGUUGCAAAAGAAGUAGGUAGCUUAACCUUCGGGAGGGCGCUUACCACUUUGUGAUUCAUGACUGGGGUGAAGUCGGAACAAGGUAACCGUAGGGGAACCUGCGGUUG